GAACGAGAAUCUGAUGAAGGAGUUUUCGGACAACUGAUUCAGAGGAAAGUGGCGGACGGGUGAGUAACGCGUGAGGAACCUGCCUUGAAGGGGGGGACAACAGUUGGAAACGACUGCUAAUACCGCAUGACGCAUAGGGGUCGCAUGAUUCUUAUGCCAAAGAUUUAUCGCUUCAAGAUGGCCUCGCGUCUGAUUAGCUGGUUGGCGGGGUAACGGCCCACCAAGGCGACGAUCAGUAGCCGGACUGAGAGGUUGAACGGCCACAUUGGGACUGAGAUACGGCCCAGACUCCUACGGGAGGCAGCAGUGGGGAAUAUUGGGCAAUGGGCGCAAGCCUGACCCAGCAACGCCGCGUGAAGGAAGAAGGCUUUCGGGUUGUAAACUUCUUUUAAGAGGGAAGAGCAGAAGACGGUACCUCUAGAAUAAGCCA
rnacentral:rRNA from 1 species